rnacentral:rRNA from 1 species
AUUGAACGCUGGCGGCAGGCCUAACACAUGCAAGUCGAGCGGAUGAAGGGAGCUUGCUCCUGGAUUCAGCGGCGGACGGGUGAGUAAUGCCUAGGAAUCUGCCUGGUAGUGGGGGAUAACGUCCGGAAACGGGCGCUAAUACCGCAUACGUCCUGAGGGAGAAAGUGGGGGAUCUUCGGACCUCACGCUAUCAGAUGACCCUAGGUCGGAUUAGCUAGUUGGUGGGGUAAAGGCCUACCAAGGCGACGAUCCGUAACUGGGCUGAGAGGAUGAUCAGUCACACUGGAACUGAGACACGGUCCAGACUCCUACGGGAGGCAGCAGUGGGGAAUAUUGGACAAUGGGCGAAAGCCUGAUCCAGCCAUGCCGCGUGUGUGAAGAAGGUCUUCGGAUUGUAAAGCACUUUAAGUUGGGAGGAAGGGCAGUAAGUUAAUACCUUGCUGUUUUGACGUUACCAACAGAAUAAGCACCGGCUAACUUCGUG